GUGCUGACCAGGGCUUUUGUUGAUUAUGCUGAAGUGUUUUUUCAGGUGUACAGCUCUUUCUUGGCAAGUGUGGAAAGAAGGACAAGGAUCCUCAGAUGGUGGGGAGGAGAUACUCCUCCCCCAAACUCCUCUAUUUUUUUCUCUUCUUACGACUUCCAAAAUUGUAAAAACCUGACUUACAGGAUGAAAUCUUUAAAGGCUCUCUGUCUUCUACCGUAGGCAAAGCCAUGAAAAUGUGUACUGCUCAUCACUUUGUCUCGUCACGUCUGAUAGAUCUGGCAUUAUAAGAUGGAUGGCUUUGCUUUUAAUUCGGGGAUCCAGUUCAAAGUUGAUGUUAAAUAAAUUAAUAUGAAGAAAAAUACUCCAGCGAAUAAUCUUUCAGUGAAGCCUAUGAUCAGAAAGGAAAUCCAGACAGCACAACAGGUGUGCUUUUUGCAAGCCUGGUGAAAUCUGCAAAUGAACCAAGCCCCAGCCCCAGGAUUUUGGUCUCGAGUAGGACUCGGGCAUAAGCUUCUUGAAAAGCUCCCCGGGGAAUUCUAACGUCCAGCUGGAGUGAGGAAGCACUAAGCCACCAAAGACAGCCUCUGAAGGACCGCCACUUUGGCUAUUAUCUAAGAUGACUCUCUGC